UGGGGAAUUUUGGACAAUGGGCGAAAGCCUGAUCCAGCAAUGCCGCGUGUGUGAAGAAGGCCUUCGGGUUGUAAAGCACUUUUGUCCGGAAAGAAAUCCUUGGCUCUAAUACAGUCGGGGGAUGACGGUACCGGAAGAAUAAGCACCGGCUAACUACGUGCCAGCAGCCGCGGUAAUACAUAGGGUGCAAGCGUUAAUCGGAAUUACUGGGCGUAAAGCGUGCGCAGGCGGUUUGCUAAGACCGAUGUGAAAUCCCCGGGCUCAACCUGGGAACUGCAUUGGUGACUGGCAGGCUAGAGUAUGGCAGAGGGGGGUAGAAUUCCACGUGUAGCAGUGAAAUGCGUAGAGAUGUGGAGGAAUACCGAUGGCGAAGGCAGCCCCCUGGGCCAAUACUGACGCUCAUGCACGAAAGCGUGGGGAGCAAACAGGAUUAGAUACCCUGGUAGUCCACGCCCUAAACGAUGUCAACUAGUUGUUGGGGAUUCAUUUCCUUAGUAACGUAGCUAACGCGUGAAGUUGACCGCCUGGGGAGUACGGUCGCAAGAUUAAAACUCAAAGGAAUUGACGGGGUCAUAGCUGUUUCCU
rnacentral:rRNA from 1 species